AUAAAAGGAAGCUAGCUUGUCAAAGAGCAACUAUUUGAAACUUAUGCCAAGAAUACAACCUUUUUUGUGCCAUUCAAUAGAAAUCAAACCUAAAAAUAUCAUCAAGUGUCAUGCAACAGCAGUACCAAAACCAAUAUAAUAGAAAUAUAUUGCCCAAACCUGCAACAAAUUUUCCACAACACCCAACAUCACAGCUUUGGCAUGGAAAUUCUG
rnacentral:misc_RNA from 1 species